rnacentral:rRNA from 1 species
UACGUAGGGGGCAAGCGUUGUUCGGAAUUACUGGGCGUAAAGGGCUCGUAGGUGGCCAACUAAGUCAGACGUGAAAUCCCUCGGCUUAACCGGGGAACUGCGUCUGAUACUGGAUGGCUUGAGUUCGGGAGAGGGAUGCGGAAUUCCAGGUGUAGCGGUGAAAUGCGUAGAUAUCUGGAGGAACACCGGUGGCGAAGGCGGCAUCCUGGACCGACACUGACGCUGAGGAGCGAAAGCCAGGGGAGCAAACGGG